GUCACUUUUUAUCACUUCCUUUUAGUGGGUUUCAGACACUUUUUCAGGAAAAUAAAUCUGGAAAUGCUCUUAAUAACCUGCACGCCUGAUUAGUCAUUAUUACACAGAGCAAGGGAAGGUGACACCCUGCCAUAUCUUCUCUCUGCACUUGGGGACUAAGAGAAGUGAUUGAUGUGAGGCCAUCCAGGCUGGCUCUGGAGGGAGCAAGACACAAGACCAGGUCUUUGAGGCUGUGGGGAUGGUGGAAUUGCAGGUCCUGCUCCAUCGUUAUUUCCAGUAGCAGUCAGAAGCCCCAGAAUUUGUCCUCAGCAUGCAAGCCUGGCCAUGCAGAUGUCCUCGCUUGCUACCACAAUGAGAUGGCAAAUCUUUCAGCCUGACUCUAUUACACUCAUGUUUCCAGCCCCAUGGCUCCUCCCCAGCAUUACCAACCACAUCCACCAGCCCACAACCCCUCCUCUCCCACUUCUCCAUUACUGCCGCAUGGUCUCCAUCCCAAACUCUUCCAGGGAAACUGCCCCAAGAGCUCCCUUGUGGAUCUCUUCCACAAGAAAUAUCACCAGCCUUGGUGGCAUCCUUCCCCUUAUCCCCAGACCCAGAUUUCCCCUUGCAUCUCUCACCACCCUCUUAGCAUCUCUUCCUCUUCUACUCUUCUUGUCUGGAGAUUCUCCAUUCGUGCUCUCAAGUGGCUCUUCCAUGUGGGGUCAGAAAUCCAAAUGAAGCUCAUCAAGGCUUGUUGGCACCUGGGGAUCUCCUGGCCAUGGCUUGUCCCAGCUCAGCCAGCCUGGAUGCUAGAACCAAGCUGAGCCCAUGGAGAGGGACAGAUGGAGGUCCAAGAAGGACUGACAGUGAGGAAAAACCGAUUCCUUCCCAUCCAGCUCUGACUCUUAAAUGCUCUUCUCAGCGUGACCUUCAGUACACCUCACUCCUCUCCCACACAGAGCAGAAGAUAAAAGCAAACUGGCCAGAUCAUACAGAAGAGCAAUCCUCCACUCUUGGUGCUGAUAAAUUAAAGCUCCUUGGCCUCCAAGUGAAAGGAAGUUUUCCCCCACAGUAGUUCAGAGCCCAUUAAGGCAAUGACAAGCAACCACUUUGUGCUUCACUUAGAAUUUAGCCAGGAGGGAAAAUAUUACUUCAGAUGGCAAGAAGAGAUUGCUUUUAAUUGAAACUCUUUCUGUGCUGAGCUGCUGUUGACACUUAGUUUUUCAAUUAGCAGUUCCAUAGGUUUUUAGCUCAGUUCUGCAAGUAGAGAAAGGCUGCAAAGUGAGGGGGGAAAAGUCGAAUCAGAUAUUCUGCCUCCUCUUGGAGAAAUUCAGAGGGACUGAAAUGCCACUCUGCAUGUUUCCCUUAGUAUUUUUUACUCACUGGUCUCCUUGCCACUUGUAAGCUGCACCUGACACUGGAGAAAGGCAUAAGUAAUGUAAAAUCAUUGUUCAUAUCUAAUUAUUACAAGAAAAAUUUGCACUCUGAAUUUCUUCCUAUGUUGGUGAUACAGUGGUUCAGCUUUAUUUGGAGUCCUUUGCUAGAAGGAAUAUGAUGUUCAUGUCAUUAGUUUCUUCUUGCUUGUUCCGGGAUCCACUUAGAGUCCCUUUUGCAUGUUUGCUAACAUGUUUUUACACCUUUGCACUUUCUUCGUUGGUCUGCAACUCCAUGUUACAUGAAAAUUUACU
rnacentral:lncRNA from 1 species